UUUUUUUUUAAUUUUUUAAUUUUUCUUUUUUUCUUCUCUUUGGUGUUUCCCUUGAGGACAUGGAAUAGUUGUAUUGAAUUAAAAUAUGACUUUCUUUUUCUUCCCUUAAUUUUAUUUUAUUUGUAAUUUGCCUUCUUAAACAUAGAAUGAUAGACUUUCCAAAACUAACAAGCACUUGCAGCUAGUUUCCCUAUCACAAAUAUAAGUUACGACAACAACAAUAGUAUGAACUAUGAAGAGAAGCAGAGAGAGGCACACUUCCAUGGGGCGUAGACCAUCUAGUCCGAGUCCUUCACGGCGCACGCAUUCCAUCUCUGCUGAUUAUGGACCAAGAAGGGACAUGAUGUUCUAGGUGUCCAACUGAUUAUUGGGCUAUCGCACCAUUGGAUUUGACAUGUUUCGUCAGGGUGAAGGUGGAAAUCAAAUAAAAUUUAUACGAGAUUCAUGUCCUUGAAAUUCACCGGAGUUUCACGGCUAAAGUUUUUAUGCUGAACCUUCAACUUGCCGCCUUGCACAUUCCAAAACUCUUUUAGUUUGCGUGCACUUAUAAGCAACCACAUCAAAAAAAUUUUGACACACUUGAGUUGUAUGAUGAAAAUGGACUUAUCUGUAUAUGUAAGAAUAGGUUUCUGAUACCCGCCGCUGUGAUACUUAAUGCUCACAUCUUAGGGGCCCGAAAUGGAAGAGACAAUUCAUCUAAUUAACAUGACACAGUCCUAUUAGCUAUACAAAAACUGGAACGAACAAACUCUUUCACCGGUCGAAAGGAUUGCCACUUC
rnacentral:misc_RNA from 1 species